UUAGAUGAUUGGCAAUGUGUUUGGGUAAAAUACAAACAGCUAAUUCAAUCAGCUAUUUACCAAACACUUUCUUCCAAAACAGCUAAUUUCAAUCAACUAGUCAAAACAGCUAAUUCAAUCAGUUACAGCUAACAGCUAACUCCCAAACAGGUCCUUAGUAGACUUGACCAAAGAGGCGACCAUCUAUUUUCCUGAGCAAAUAAGAAAAGGGGCCGCAUAGAACUAGGGUUCCAAAUCUUGAAUCAGAUGGACAUAGCAGAAGUAUAUAGGGUAACUUACUAUGGUCCUGAAGAUCGUUUGCGUGGUGCAAUCAUGGUGUGUGAUAUGAAAACUGGCUUUCAAUUUUUAUACAAAGAUAAGAGUCUAGACGAAUUUGACGCCCAAGAAUUAUAUAUUAAACUAUUUAAUGCUGAAGAGCAUGAGGAACUCGACAAAAAAGCAACUAUGAUGAUUCAACCAUGUAUUAAAACUAGGGAUCAUAUUUUACUGAGCGGUCCUAAAGCAUCUGUUGGUUUCGUGCCCGAUCUUUCGCUGUGUCUUUUCCUUUUUGGUGACAUCUGUACGAUCAGUAUUCACAACCAUCGCCUAGGCUCAAAGGACCUUUCUGUUCCUCUGAAGAGAAGCUUUGUAACAUAUGAUGGCACCAGAAGUUUCUCGAUUUUAUAUGCAUUAUUCAAAAACGCAGUCGAAGCGCGUGUGAAAGUUAAGAUAUGCAAUGUGGUGUCUGCAUUUGGCCUCUAUGGUGUCGUAGCUGCUAGGACAAGUGCAAUAAAGGCCCCUGCGUAUUCAAGCAUACUUUUCUUCAAGGAUGAGGAUGAGAAACUUGAGGUGAAACCUGGAAAUGGAGAUAAUGACUUAGCGUUGUCGAGAAGUGUGGUAGGUGUGCCAUUCGGAUCUGAGCUAAUUCUGCAAUUCGGAUUAUGUGAUGAUGGAGGCGGUAAACUAGUUGAACACAAUGAGCGAAUUGAAGUUACACAAGGGGAAACAAGUUCCAGGACUGUUCGAAGUAUACCCUUUGGCAAUCAAUGUCUGAUUGAAGUUGAAAUUAACUGGAAAAGUAAGAGAGAUAUGCAACUAUAGAUAUGUUAGUUCUGCUAAUAUUGCAAGGGAAUGCUGAAUCGUUUAUGUUUUUAUUUGCUAAAUAUUAAAUCAUUUAUGUUGUUGCCUAAAGAUUGAUGUGUUUAUGUUUC